rnacentral:rRNA from 1 species
GAUGAACGCUGGCGGCGUGCCUAAUACAUGCAAGUCGAGCGAACAGAAGAGGAGCUUGCUCCUCUGACGUUAGCGGCGGACGGGUGAGUAACACGUGGAUAACCUACCUAUAAGACUGGGAUAACUUCGGGAAACCGGAGCUAAUACCGGAUAAUAUAUUGAACCGCAUGGUUCAAUAGUGAAAGACGGUUUUGCUGUCACUUAUAGAUGGAUCCGCGCCGCAUUAGCUAGUUGGUAAGGUAACGGCUUACCAAGGCAACGAUGCGUAGCCGACCUGAGAGGGUGAUCGGCCACACUGGAACUGAGACACGGUCCAGACUCCUACGGGAGGCAGCAGUAGGGAAUCUUCCGCAAUGGGCGAAAGCUUGACGGAGCAACGCCGCGUGAGUGAUGAAGGUCUUCGGAUCGUAAAACUCUGUUAUUAGGGAAGAACAAAUGUGUAAGUAACUAUGCACGUCUUGACGGUACCUAAUCAGAAAGCCACGGCUAACUACGUG